GGCCGUCGUAGGUGAUGGGAGCCGCUCGCGAUGCCUAAUGGAAAACAUCCUCCUUCUCCUGAAGGUCUUCGACCUUGGAAGUUAGUUUGACAACAUCUGAUGAAAGCCGGGUGACUUGCUCUUCCAGUGUCACCACUUUGUCGGAGCUUUUCAAGAUCAGCUGAAAUCUCUUCAAGGCACAACACAAAAUUCAAGCUCCUCCAACAGUGACUCCUCUAAAGGUUGAGAAGGUGGAGAAAAGCACUCUGAAGCAUCUCCUUGAGCUAAAGAAGAGAGUUGCAGCCUGCUUCUUCACAACAAAUGUAUCAGCGCCUGCCAGCGCAAUACUAUGACCUGGUCAGCCAAGUGGGCUUCCAGAGGGAAUUUGCACCACCUGACGGUCUUAUUGGGCCACCGGAGACGGUGGAGACCCCCUCACCCUGUGUGACAGUAUGAAAGGGGACAUAGACACCUGUGUCAUUUUCAAUGGUCACUAGGCCCUACCUGAAUAUCUGAUCAUCUGCAACAACAAAAAACGUCAACCCGUUAGUUUGGAUAACAAUGAAGUCCUAUGAAGUAAUUUUGUUUUAAAAGAGCGAUAUGGAUCUUCAUUUCAUUCAGUGAUUGUCUACUCUAUAGUCUAUGCAGGAAAAUUGGAUUUGAUACACCAAUUUAUGAAAUUCUGACAUAUUUGCAUCACAUUAUACUAUAUUGUUUUUUGAUUUGCCAUGGUUUAGUUUCUGCCUCGGUAAUAGCACUAAGCUUCAGUUUAUAGCCAACUAAAUGUUAUUGCAGUUUGAAUGAGUAUGUUAUGAAUUUAAAAGUGG
rnacentral:lncRNA from 1 species